rnacentral:rRNA from 1 species
GCGACCCCAGGUCAGGCGGGACUACCCGCUGAGKUUAA